GUAUUAGUUAUUUUCUUGAAACCCAGAGGAUUUGGCGGUAUUUUAGUCCUUUCAGAGGAACCUGCUCCCUAACCGAUAAUCCACGUUUUUAUUCACUUGUCUUUGUUUUCAGUUUGUAUACCUCCGUCAUAAGGAUGUCUUUUUAGGGUUAAUUUCCUGUACUAUUAAAUGUAGAUAUGUCAGGUCGAGGUGCAGCUUAUGGAUAAGGGGGUAGUGGGUUACUUUUAAUGUUUAAUGAUGAAUAGUUAAUAGUUGGCUUUAAUUUGAAAUUGGAUUUGAAUGUAAAAUAAUACAUUUUAUGCUUUGACUUUGGCUCUAAAAUAUGCACA
rnacentral:rRNA from 1 species